AUACCAGCCCCGCGAGUGGUCGGGACGGUUAUUGGGCCUAAAGCGCCCGUAGCCGGCCCGGUAAGUUCCCGCCGAAAUCCCCGGGCUCAACCCGGGGGCCUGCGGGAAUACUGCCGGGCUAGGGGGCGGGAGAGGCCGGGGGUACUCCCGGGGUAGGGGCGAAAUCCUAUAAUCCCGGGAGGACCACCAGUGGCGAAGGCGCCCGGCUGGAACGCGCCCGACGGUGAGGGGCGAAAGCCGGGGGAGCGAACCGGAUUAGAAACCCUAGUAGUCC
rnacentral:rRNA from 1 species